AAUUAGGUAAUUAAUUAAUAAUAAUAGUCAUAAAAUUAAAAAUAUUAAUAUAAUAAUAAUAUUAAUAAUUAACAAUGAAUAAUAGUUUCAUAAUCGAUCGGAAGAGAAAUGGGACUCGACAGGACGCCGAAGCACGAUGCGAACUUGCCCGGAAAUCCUCGAAACCUCAUUAGGGGCUGAGCUCUCAUUAGAUUAGGUUGAUAUUUGCGAAGUGAUGUUAAUAUUUCUUGUAUUAAAAUUAACACAUAUUUUUUUGUUGCAAAUAGUGAUUUCGAAAAAAUAAUUUAGCUAGGAAUUUUUAUAAACAUUUUUCAAAAUUGUGAUUAUUUUAUAUAGGAGAGUAGCAAUCUAAUAAUAAGGUAGUUUCACACAAGAGAAAAUAAUUCAAAGUGAUUUUUUUUCAAGUGAUUGAAAGACAAUAAGAAGAGGAAUCACAAAAUAAAAAAGGGAUUCCGAAGAAUUUUCCAAAGGACAGGCAAUUUUCGAAGAAACUGGGAGUUUUCAUUAAUUUUCCAGUAGAACUUCAUAAAGAAUGAAGAUAUAUUUUAUUUCUUUUUCAACAAUCAAUGACGAGCAAAGGAAAGAAGAGGAGGACGCAAAAAUAUACCAAAAAGUGACUCAAAAGUAGUGGAAAAUCUAUGAAAAAUGUAAUAUUUAGCUCUCGUUGUAUUAUAGUUAUUUUCUCUACGAGUUCUGAAAAUGUUUGUUAUUUAGCUAGGGAUUUUGAAACCGAAAAAAUUAUUGUAUUAGCUAGGUAAUUAGCAAUGUAGGUAGUUUUUAAGUAUUUUAAAAUAAUUUUACCGCAAAAACUUCAACAUCCAGCAUCAACUCAUAACAUUAUGGGGCGUAAAACAAUUCCUGUCACUUCUGGAAGAAAAUGUCCUACUCUAAGAGAAGUGCGUUUAAAGUUAAACGGAAAUUUGAUAAAUUGAUAAAUAAAAAGGAGAAAAAAGAAGUCGUUCCCUCCAGGGAAAGACACGAUCACUUCAUCUUCUUCGCCAAGAGUAAAACAAUUUCUGCUACUUGUGGGAGAAAUUGCCUACUCCUCAGAGAAUAAGCGGAAGUGCGUUUUCCCUACAAGAAACUGAGAUGCAGAUUAAACUGGGAAAACCACAGUCACUUCAUCUUAUUCACCACAAGUGAAGCUAGAUCUGCUACUGGAGGGGGAAGUUCCCCUAUUCCCACAGAAUAAGUGAAGUGCAUUUUCCCCAGAGGAGACAGAGAUGGAAAUAGCACAACAGAUGGAAAAAACAAAGAAGAAUUAAAUCUAAAUCGGUAAAAAUUUCACAGAUUUCAAUUCAGUGGAAUUUCACUAAUUCUCACUGAGAAUCCAUAGUUUUUAAUGAUCCAUUGAUAAUUGAUUCAUCAAAGAAACCUUGUCCAUUAAAUUGAAAUCUGGGAAGUUUUCACCGAUUCAGAUUUAGAGUGUGAGAAUGGAAUUUUGAAAACUAAAAAAUGACUUUAAAGAAUGAAGUAAGAGAAAAGAUAUUGUAAGAAUUAUGUAGAAAAUUAUGUGAAGAAAGAAUAAAGAGAGAAAAAUAAAAUAUU